AUACGAAGGGGGCUAGCGUUGUUCGGAUUUACUGGGCGUAAAGCGCACGUAGGCGGAUUGAUAAGUUAGGGGUGAAAUCCCGAGGCUCAACCUCGGAACUGCCUCUAAUACUGUCAAUCUCGAGACCGGAAGAGGUGAGUGGAACUCCUAGUGUAGAGGUGGAAUUCGUAGAUAUUAGGAAGAACACCAGUGGCGAAGGCGGCUCACUGGUCCGGUACUGACGCUGAGGUGCGAAAGCGUGGGGAGCGAACAGGAUUAGAAACCCGAGUAGUCC
rnacentral:rRNA from 1 species